rnacentral:lncRNA from 1 species
GUAUCUUGAGAGCGCUUGACUCGACCAGCAAGAACGACGCUGCAACAGGAUCCUUCUGCACACGUUUAUUGGGAGAGCUUGAUUGCAGAGGCGAAGAGACCCUGAGCACAGAACUGGUGCUGCUUAUAUAGGCCUAGGAGAGGCGUGUCUCACACCCAGAUUGGUUAUGCACUACGCCUCAUUUGCAUGUUCCUCAUCUGAUUGGCUACUCUCUCUCUCUCUGUACCUCACAGAGCCUCAUUAUCAUACCUCAUUCGCAUGUCUCACAUCUGAUUGGUUAUACUCUCAAAGCCUCAUUAUCAUGCCGGGGCCAGGCAGUGUCUUUGCAAAAAACUUUACUGCAUAUGUACACAUUGGUUGUUUGUCCAAACUUAUGCGUGGUGGCCAGCAGUAGUCAGUGCCACUCUGCAACGGCACAUGUGGCUUCCCACAUCUCCACCUGUUUGUUUUAAUAAAAUGAGGCUGGACUAGGCCUGUGCAAUUAUGCC